GGAUGGUUUUAUUUCUGGAACAAAUGUUUGAGUGAGUUCAAGGAAGGCGCACCGGGAUCACGUGAGGGCACUUGCGCGUCCGAUUGUUCUCUUCAUUGGAUACAAGAUUGCGCUCCCGAGGUUGUUUACGAUGGACUCUUCCUCUACGCCUGUCACUGUGUGAGGCCCACUGGACCGGCUCAAUGUCUCAAGAGUUUAGGGGAGAUUUGAGACGAAGGCCACGCACCAGGAAGGCUCGUUCAGUCAACCCUCACAGCCCUUCUCCCUCCUGUCCCCAAGUAGAGAAAGGACUUGAUGUCCCUUCAGUUUUUUUUUGUUUUGUUUUGCAAACUGAAAACAUGAAAAUGAAAAUCCCAUUGAAAAGGAAGUGACCCUCAUAUGAAAAAAAAAA